rnacentral:lncRNA from 1 species
CACAACAAUCCCAAUGUCAGCAGUGCCACGAGAUGAGACCCUCAGCCUUGAGAAACUGGAAAAGAUGAAGAGAGGAGAAAAUGAGCAGAGGGCACUGCCUGCUUAUGUCCAUGUGCUUCUUUUCCACCUCAGAAACAACACAGCAUCUUUUGUCGUCUUUGAUGCUGCCUCUCCCGUAUUGAUUACGCUUUAUUAUUCCUGAAGACUCGGGUGUGUGACGUAAGUAACCCUAUGUCGGACCCAAGCCCAGUAGGAUAAACGAAAACGGGAGGGCAAAUUGGAACAUGUACCGUAACAACGAGAGCAUUCUUUCUAUGACUUGAAAAAGUCUUCAGAUCCUUGGUUUAAUUUAAUCAGCAAUACGUUCAUCUGCAUAUGGCAUUUAGCAGCAAAGUAAACUUUUUUUCCUGAGUCAUUUGUUUCCAAAUCAGUGGGAACAAAGGAUAUCCCAGUUCCAUUCAAGCAGCUUCAAUGAUUCUCAAACAAACGUGGGAGUCAUAGCUGAGCCAUUUAAAAUAUACAGUGAUGAGAAAGCAUACUUGGUAAUCUUGUCAACAUUCCUUUAAGGAGAAUAUCCAAGUGUCCUUUUACUAUAAUAACGCUUUGUACUUUGAAAUGUUCAGAUGUCAAUAAAAUAGAAUUGAACACAACAGCCUAGAAGAAUGCCGUUUCCAAGUUUUCUAGUAAUGGUGCUGUGAAAACAGUAUGUAUUUUUCAGUUUAACACUCCGAAAAUCAAAUUUCCUCACCCCAAGAUUGGCUCCAUUUACACAAAAGCACUUUGGACCCAUAUUUAACCAACCAUCAAAAGUGAUUCAAAAGAAGGCUAAUUGAACACUGAGGUUUUUGAAGCUCUCAAAUGAUGACCCAGGUUUUUUCUUGAAAACACUCACAGCGGCAGCUUGGCAGGAAGCAGGAAUGAAACCUGCCCUCCAAACUGGAAGAAAAACUUCCAAUAACAAACUGCGAGGUUUGAGAUCACUGCAUGUUAUAUUAUUCAUUAUUCAAAUGGCCUCUAGCCCUAUUACACAGCCUUUUCUCUGGCGUCUGAGCUGCCCCAAGAAAUGUACUUUAGUAAGACCGAGCCCCCCUUUCAGAGGAAAGGAGAACCUCCUUAUCUCCGCUUUCUGCCUCCCUGUCUCUGCGUUCUAUCUGUUCUAUCUCUGUUCCAUCUGCGUGUUUUGCAAUCUCCUCAGUGUUCCAAAGGCCAAUGAAAUCUCUCUCCCACAGGGGCCAGCGAUGGCAGACCUCAACCAAAUAAAAGUUAUGCAAAGGCAAGCUGGAAAAUCUGCACAGGGGAGAUUUCACCAAGAGGAGAGGGGCCUGAUAUUUUCCGUCUAAAUCCUUAGGCCUCACUCCAGCCUACAAAGACAAGUGGCAGGAAACUUAACAGCGAUAAUCAAAUGAGCUCAGCCAGCCUCGGGAUGGUUCUUGUAAGAACUGUGUGUGUGGAGAAGGGAUGCAGGCUUUCUGCCCAGGAGAACCUAGAGAGAAAAAACUGCUCUUCCCAAAAUCCCUGAAGUCUGCUGCCAGGGGCUCAGUACAUGCCUGACCAAAAAGAGAAAACUGCCCACCUAACCGGUUCGGCUGUUUCCUGGCUACUACGGACAGAAGCAGACAGAACCUUAUCAUUUCAGUUAUGUCUAACUUGGACAUUAUUUUCAAGUAAAUAUUGGUAAUUUCAAGGCUCUUUCCUUGCCGUGUGACCUGGCGUGACGGACAAUGCUGUCUCCGAGGAAGUUGACUCCAUAGCAACAAGCCAGGGAAGCCUGCACCUUCCACCCAGGGGGCCUCCCACGAGCAUUUUGGAGACUCGGGACUUUGCAGUUAUCUUGUCAGGGGGUGGCUGAGGGAAGAAGCUUCUUCCUUUGCCCUCUGGGCCCCUCCCAGCGGUCUGGGUUUCUGUGGAUCACUCUGUGCUUCUCAAUGAAUCCAGCGCUGGGCAUUUUUCUCUUUUCAUUCAGGAAGUGGUGAGCUGAGCCCUGAGAUUCUUUCUGCUCCGAUGAUAUAAACAAAUUGUAGAGGAAGUCAAGUCAAAUUUUCCCUUGCUGGUUUUGUUCUCCCAACUAGCAAUUCAGAAAACAGAGCCAACUUUUUUUUUUUUUUUUUUUUUUUUUUUUUGGAUGCCCUUUAAAGAUUGCUGUUAACUGGAAAGACAAGAAACCCUUGUAG